CGGGGUGUGGCGCAGUCGGAAGCGCGCCGCGUUUGGGACGCGGAGGUCGGCGGUUCAAGUCCGCCCACCCCGACCA
rnacentral:tRNA from 1 species